AUCAACUUUCGAUGGUAGGAUAGAGGCCUACCAUGGUGGUAACGGGUAACGGGGGUGUUAGGGCACGACACCGGAGAGGGAGCCUGAGAAACGGCUACCACAUCCAAGGAUGGCAGCAGGCGCGCAAAUUACCCAAUCCCGACACGGGGAGGUAGUGACAAUAAAUAACAAUACGGGGUUCUUUCGGAUUUCGUAAUUGGAAUGAGUACAAUUUAAAUCUCUUAACGAGGAACAAUUGGAGGGCAAGUCUGGUGCCAGCAGCCGCGGUAAUUCCAGCUCCAAUAGCGUAUAUUAAAGUCGCUGCAGUUAAAAAGCUCGUAGUUGAAUUUCGGGACCAAUAUGUCGGUCGUGCCUCGGUACGUACUGGCAUCGUUGGUUUCUCCCUUCUGACGAACCAUGAUGUCAUUUAUUUGGUGUCGUGGGGAAUCAGGACUGUUACUUUGAAAAAAUUAGAGUGUUUAAAGCAGGCUCACGCUUGAAUACAUUAGCAUGGAAUAAUGAAAUAGGACGUUUGAUUCUAUUUUGUUGGUUUCUAGGAUCGACGUAAUGAUUAAUAGGGAUAGUUGGGGGCAUUAGUAUUCAAUUGUCAGAGGUGAAAUUCUUGGAUUUAUUGAAGACUAACUACUGCGAAAGCAUUUGCCAAGGAUGUUUUCAUUAAUCAAGAACGAAAGUUAGGGGAUCGAAGACGAUCAGAUACCGUCGUAGUCUUAACCAUAAACUAUGCCGACUAGGGAUCGGAUGAUGUUAAUUUUUUAAUGACUCAUUCGGCGCCUUACGGGAAACCAAAGUGUUUGGGUUC
rnacentral:rRNA from 1 species